CCUCCUCCCACCAGGCUCCUCCCACCAGGCUCCUCCAAUCAGCACCAGUCCUGCUCAUCUCUCUGACAGCAACUCUUCUUCUACAUCUCCACCAGUGUGUGAACACGAACAUGACAGAAGAAAAUGAUCACACGCUGGGAACAGUCCACUUCAAUCAAUCCAAGAAGCUUCUGCCAACAAGGUGAACAGUCCCCCCUGUGAACCUGGAGGAAUGCUUUGUCCCGGUGACUGUGGGAUCUCACAUCUGAAGAAGUGGAGAAGCCACUAGGAGACUCUUCAGUAACCCGUGGGGGGGGCAGACUCACAGUCCUCGUCUCAUGCAACAUGAGCGACUCGUCCCCACAGAGGCGGUCCAGUCCACUGACCUUUCACCUGCAGCGGACGAGAUGUUGGCAGAUGAAUCAUUCUGCUUCCAUUUGUCAUGAGAGACGAGGAGCUCUGUUUCAAGAUUCAAGAUUCAAGAUGUUGUAUUUGUCACAUACACACACAGGGUGUGCAGUGAAAUGAAAGUGGCAAUGCUCAGCAGGAAUGUGCAAGGGCAACAAGUACACACUAUUUACAAAUAAAAAACAACACAAUAUUUACAGUAAGUGUGUGUGUGUGUGUGUGUGUGUGUGUGUGUGUGUGUGUGUGUGCCUAAGAGGGGCAGUUGUGUGGGUCUAUGUGGGGGUCCUGGUGAGGUCGGAGUUCACAAUCCUGAUGGCCUGAGGAAAGAAACUCCGUCUCAGUCUCUCUGUUCUUGCAGCGUGACUACGGAGGCGCCUGCCUGACCGCAGCAGCUGAAACAGUCUGUUGUUGGGGUGGUGAGGAUCCUUCAUGAUGUUGUCUGAAAACGAGCGGGCCUUUAAUUGGAUGAAGAUUAGUUUGAAACGUGCUAC